rnacentral:lncRNA from 1 species
UGAAUAAACGUAUUAAAGGGAGUAUAUGUAUUGCUGUUUUCAUGCCAUGUAUGUAUUUCCAGCACGUGUAGUUCGGUCGGACUCAGAUGGCGCGAUCACAUUCACUCUGUCAGUCCCUGAGCUGGAAAGAGCCUUCUGUAAAAAGUUCAAGUUCACAACGAAACCCAAUGAGAAAGAGAAGGCUUGAAGGAGGACCCAUCUUUCCUAAAUGUCGGACAAACGUGUAGCAGCAUCAGAAACCCUCUAUGGCCUGGGACCUGCAUCACACCCAGUCUCAUCCCACAUCCUCUCAUAAUUUCUGUCCAUUUCAGAUAACUCACAAAAUCAUCUAAAGGAAACAUUCAAUUCAGAAUGCUGGAAACCCAAAGGUACCACCCUCUGUUUAUCAGACACAUAGUUCCUCAUGGUGGAGUGUUUUAAAAAUGUGUAAACUACAUAACAUUAGCAUGGAAAAAUCACCUACUUGUGUUGAUGGAUCAGUAAAGAUGAAAAUGAUGCUCAAUUUAUCACAAUGUUCUCAGUUGACAUAAUCUUCACGUUGUAAACAGUUUAACCCUAAAGCCAGCAGUUUUGCAGUGUUUGGAUGCACACCAAGAGCAUCAAACUUGACUGAUUGUAGCUGUGGUUUUGCCUUCUCCGGGCCAGUUUGAGUCUCACUGUAGUUCUCGCACACAUCGCGUAGAAGCAUGUACUGUGUUUUUUGGAAUAUACUAUAAUUUUGACCUGUUCUUCUGUUUAACAACUGGUAAAUUACCUUAAAUUUAGCUUUAAAUAACUGGCAAUACCUUUAUUGGUCACCUGACAAGAGUAUAAAAUCUAAGCUCUGUGUAUUUGCACCGCUCCAGUAUAUUUAUGAAAUUAUUUAUAUAUUUUAUAUUCUAUGUUUGAUGAGGGAAAAUUCUCUUUUUCAUGUUUAGGGCAAGCUGUGUUUAAUUUAACCACUUAUCAUUAAAUGAUUGUGAUUGGUGUGUAUACAGUGUUCUCUACAGUCUUCCUCAUUAAAUGCUUUUUUACUUUUAAGUGAGAAUCAUAACACACAAUAGAAAACGUAUCAUAAAACUAUAUGUGCUAUUGCCUAUGCCUGCUCUCAUGAAGUCAUUUCCAGAUUAUAUUUCACCCA